CCUACGGGAGACAGCAGUGGGGGAUAUUGCACAAUGGGGGAAACCCUGAUGCAGCGACGCCGCGUGUGGGAAGACGGUCCUCUGGAUUGUAAACCACUGUCCCCAGGGACGAAGAUGACGGUACCGGGGGAGGCAGCUCCGGCUAACUACGUGCCAGCAGCCGCGGUAAUACGGAGGGAGCGAGCGUUGUCCGGAAUUAACGGGUGUAAAGGGAGCGUAGGCGGGACUGCAAGUUGGGUGUCUAAUCUACCGGCUCAACCGGUAGCCGCACUCAAAACUGCAGUUCUUGAGUGAAGUAGAGGCAGGCGGAAUUCCUAGUGUAGCGGUGAAAUGCGUAGAUAUUAGGAGGAACACCAGUGGCGAAGGCAGCCUGCUGGGCUUUUACUGACGCUGAGGCUCGAAAGUGUGGGGAGCAAACAGGAUUAGAUACCCCAGGAGUC
rnacentral:rRNA from 1 species